rnacentral:rRNA from 1 species
AACGAACGCUGGCGGCAGGCUUAACACAUGCAAGUCGAGCGCCCCGCAAGGGGAGCGGCAGACGGGUGAGUAACGCGUGGGAACGUACCCUUUGCUACGGAAUAGCUCCGGGAAACUGGAAUUAAUACCGUAUGUGCCCUUCGGGGGAAAGAUUUAUCGGCAAAGGAUCGGCCCGCGUCUGAUUAGCUAGUUGGUGAGGUAACGGCUCACCAAGGCGACGAUCAGUAGCUGGUCUGAGAGGAUGAUCAGCCACACUGGGACUGAGACACGGCCCAGACUCCUACGGGAGGCAGCAGUGGGGAAUAUUGGACAAUGGGGGCAACCCUGAUCCAGCCAUGCCGCGUGAGUGAUGAAGGCCUUAGGGUUGUAAAGCUCUUUCGUCAGGGAAGAUAAUGACGGUACCUGAAGAAGAAGCCCCGGCCAACUUCGUGCCAGCAGCCGCCGUAAAAC